rnacentral:sRNA from 2 species
AAUUUUCUAUCGCUGAAUUCAUUUAGAAGCGGGGGAACCACUUCCUGGGGUGAGUCCUUAUUGAGUUUAAAAAUUCAAUUAAGGUAGGGUUAUUCUUCGGCCCGAAUCCGUCAGCUAACUUCGUAAGCGUUGAAGGAAAAGAGA